AGGACGAUUACGUGUUCUGGAAGGACACAAGAGGGGACAGCGAGACACAAGGCAGAACGAAACAGAGAAGCAAAGAGGAUAAUUCAGUGACUUCGAAGCCGGUUUUCCAUGGCAGCCUAUCACGAAACUCGCGAGCAACGACGAACAAGAGGGAUGAGUCACGGCUGCUCACUCUUCCCACUCUUACCACCGUGUGGCGAGGUUGCAAAAAAAGAAAAAGAGUCUGCGAGCAGCAACGCGAAAGACAGAGAACAGCCAGAAGAUGAAGAAGGUGGUAAAGAAACGAGGAGAUUAGCCCUGACGAUCUCGAGGCUACGUUUCGCCUACGCGUGGCCAGCUCGACGACCUGAGAUAUUUUACGAUGGAUUUAUAACGAACGAUGGCGAAACCAAGAGCAUUUUGUUGAACAGACAUUUUGCACGCGUUUCGUUUUUAGAAUCGCUGCUAGGAAUCUCAGACGUUGUUUAAACAGAAUCGUGCUCGAUUACUUAUCGAGUGUACGUCAUGUUAUCCGUGCUACAACGUAGAUCUUGAUCGACGAUAAAACGAAGGAUAAAGAGAUUUUGCCGCGUUAUAGAAGUCGAUGCUUUAAGUUGACGAAGAAGCAUUUAGAUAGUACAAUUAACGGAAGAAGGUUUUCGAUAGUCGUCGACCGGGGGAACCGAGCUAUAAAUAUCCAAGCAGAAAAAUCGGGACGCAAGAAAAGCGUACAAAGAUCCGAUAAGGUAAGAUUCUUCACUCACCUCUGCAAGAGGCUCCUCCUUGGUGACGUCUCCAUUCUUGGGCGCUUCUUCACGGGCAGGCUUGUUCUUGUCCUUCUUGC